GAUGGUGGGUCAGGUCAUGGCUGUGCAGGGAUGCUAUGCGAACCUCGAGAACACCAUGAUAACUAUUGCCGAUGGACCACGUGUGAGGAGCUUCUCCAUUCCGUGGCACCGUGGAAGUAAGUCAGGCCCUACCGUCUCGUGACUGAACCCAGAGAAAGGCUGGCCAUCACGCUCAGGUACCUCGCUACAGGUGAAACAGACUAGGGCACAUCGCACAGCACAGCACAGCAGGCUCUCUGGCCACUUACAAAGUUGGCUGGAAAGGUUCAUCUGAUGCAACUGCAGUUCGAGGCACAUUUAAGGCAUAUUUCUUCAAUGAAGGUUUAGUGAGUGGUCGAGCUUUCGCCUCAGCACCUGCAAGAACAGGUGCAAAUAAAUUGUCUGCAACAGUU